rnacentral:rRNA from 1 species
AUUGAACGCUGGCGGCAGGCCUAACACAUGCAAGUCGAGCGGAUGAAGGGAGCUUGCUCCUGGAUUCAGCGGCGGACGGGUGAGUAAUGCCUAGGAAUCUGCCUGGUAGUGGGGGAUAACGUCCGGAAACGGGCGCUAAUACCGCAUACGUCCUGAGGGAGAAAGUGGGGGAUCUUCGGACCUCACGCUAUCAGAUGAGCCUAGGUGGGAUUAGCUAGUUGGUGGGGUAAAGGCCUACAAGGGCGACGAUCCGUAACUGGUCUGAGAGGAUGAUCAGUCAACCGGGAACGAGACACAGCCCAGACACCUACGGGAAGGCACAGUAGGGAAAUUUUGGACAUUGGGCAAAAUCUUAAACCCGCCCGUCGCGUUGUAGAAAAAAGGUUUUUGAAUUGUAAACUCUUUUAAGGGGGAAGAAAAAAUAAUAAAUUACAUCCUUGCUUUUUGAAGGUACCCAACAAAAAAGCCACCGCUAACUUCCUG